ACGGUGAUUAAUACCGGAUACGACCACUUCUCGCAUGGGAUGGUGGUGGAAAGUUUUUCGGCCAGGGAUGUGCUCGCGGCCUAUCAGCUUGAUGGUGAGGUAAUGGCUCACCAUGGCUUCGACGGGUAGCCGGCCUGAGAGGGUGACCGGUCACACUGGGACUGAGACACGGCCCAGACUCCUACGGGAGGCAGCAGUGGGGAAUAUUGGACAAUGGGCGGAAGCCUGAUCCAGCAACGCCGCGUGAGGGAUGACGGCCUUCGGGUUGUAAACCUCUUUCAGCAGGGACGAAGCGCAAGUGACGGUACCUGCAGAAGAAGCACCGGCCAACUACGUGCCAGCAGCCGCGGUAAUACGUAGGGUGCGAGCGUUGUCCGGAAUUAUUGGGCGUAAAGGGCUCGUAGGCGGUUUGUCGCGUCGGGAGUGAAAACCAGGUGCUUAACACCUGGCUUGCUUUCGAUACGGGCAGACUAGAGGUAUUCAGGGGAGAACGGAAUUCCUGGUGUAGCGGUGAAAUGCGCAGAUAUCAGGAGGAACACCGGUGGCGAAGGCGGUUCUCUGGGAAUAUCCUGACGCUGAGGAGCGAAAGUGUGGGGAGCGAACAGCGUAUUAGAUACCCUGGUAGUCCACACCGUAAACGUUGGGCGCUAGGUGUGGGGUCCAUUCCACGGAUUCCGUGCCGCAGCUAACGCAUUAAGCGCCCCGCCUGGGGAGUACGGCCGCAAGGCUAAAACUCAAAGGAAUUGACGGGGGCCCGCACAAGCGGCGGAGCAUGCGGAUUAAUUCGAUGCAACGCGAAGAACCUUACCUGGGUUUGACAUACACCCUGCCGCUCCAGAGAUGGGGCUUCUUUUGGGGGUGUACAGGUGGUGCAUGGCUGUCGUCACCUCGUGUCGCGAGAUGUUGGGUUAAGUCCCGCAACGAGCGCAACCCUCGUUCUAUGUUGCCACCACGUAAUGGUGGGGACUUAUAGGAGACUGCCGGGGUCAACUCCCAAGAAAGACGGGAAGACGUCAAGACAUCCAGCCCCUUUAUGUCCAGGGCCUUCCGCA
rnacentral:rRNA from 1 species